rnacentral:rRNA from 1 species
UACAGAGGGUGCAAACGUUGUUCGGAUUUACUGGGCGUAAAGCGCGUGUAGGCGGCGUGGCAAGUCGGGUGUGAAAGCCCCGGGCUCAACCCGGGAAGUGCAUUCGAUACUGCUGCGCUCGAGUCUCGGAGAGGAUGGUGGAACUCUCGGUGUAGAGGUGAAAUUCGUAGAUAUCGAGAAGAACACCGGUGGCGAAGGCGGCCAUCUGGACGAAGACUGACGCUGAGACGCGAAAGCGUGGGGAGCAAACAGG